CUAGUGUGGUGUUGAAUGCCUAGCUUUUAUCACCUAGGACUCCUAAAACACUAGAUACGAUGCCCACCUGCUAUUUUAGCGGGUUUAUAUCCUAACACCUACGGUAUUUUGGAUAAACA
rnacentral:sRNA from 1 species